rnacentral:rRNA from 1 species
CCGCCUGAGAUGUGAUGCCGAGCCGAUUGUGGUGAAGUGGAUGAUCCUAUGCUGCCGAGAAAAGCCUCUAGUGAGUGUUGUGGCGGCCCGUACCCUAAACCGACUCAGGUGGUCAGGUAGAGAAUACCAAGGCGAUCGGGUGAACUGUGGUUAAGGAACUCGGCAAAUUGCCCCCGUAACUUCGGGAGAAGGGGGACCUCUGCUGGUGAUGGGCUUUACGUUCUGAGCUGGUGGGGGUCGCAGUGGCCAGGGGGAAGCGACUGUUUACUAAAAACACAGGUCCGUGCGAAGUCGUAAGACGAUGUAUACGGACUGACGCCUGCCCGGUGCCGGAACGUUAAGGGGACCGCUUAGCCAGCUUCGGUUGGCGAAGGUGAGAACUUAAGCGCCGGUAAACGGCGGUGGUAACUAUAACCAUCCUAAGGUAGCGAAAUUCCUUGUCGGGUAAGUUCCGACCUGCACGAAUGGCGUAACGACUUCCCCGCUGUCUCAACCACAGACCCGGCGAAAUUGCACUACGAGUAAAGAUGCUCGUUUCGCGCAGCAGGACGGAAAGACCCCGGGACCUUCACUACAGCUUGACAUUGGCGUUUGGAACGUCUUGUGUAGGAUAGGUGGGAGACUGGGAAGCUGUCACGCUAGUGAUGGUGGAGUCAUUGGUGAAAUACCACUCUGGUCGUUUUGAACGUCUAACUCUGGUCCGUGAUCCGGAUCGGGGACAGUGUCUGGUGGGUAGUUUAACUGGGGCGGUUGCCUCCUAAAGAGUAACGGAGGCGCCCAAAGGUUCCCUCAGCCUGGUUGGCAAUCAGGUGUUGAGUGUAAGUGCACAAGGGAGCUUGACUGUGAGACUGACAGGUCGAGCAGGAGCGAAAGCUGGGACUAGUGAUCCGGCAUCGGCGUGUGGAAGCGGUGUCGCUCAACGGCUAAAAGGUACCCCGGGGAUAACAGGCUGAUCUUCCCCAAGAGUCCAUAUCGACGGGAUGGUUUGGCACCUCGAUGUCGGCUCGUCGCAUCCUGGGGCUGGAGUAGGUCCCAAGGGUUGGGCUGUUCGCCCAUUAAAGCGGUACGCGAGCUGGGUUUAGAACGUCGCGAGACAGUUCGGUCCCUAUCCGCUGCGCGCGCAGGAGACUUGAAGGGGGCUGUCCCUAGUACGAGAGGACCGGGACGGACGAACCUCUGGUGUGCCAGUUGUACCGCCAGGUGCACGGCUGGUUGGCUACGUUCGGAAGGGAUAACCGCUGAAAGCAUCUAAGCGGGAAGCUCGCCUUGAGAUGAGGUCUCCCACCCUGUGAGGGGGUAAGGCUCCCGGUAGAUCACCGGGUUGAUAGGCCGGAGGUGGAAGCACGGUAACGUGUGGAGCUGACCGGUACUAAUAGGCCGAGGACUUGACC